GCCGGGAUACGUCCGCACCUUCGAAGGCAGGGACGGGGGAACCAUCAGUUCCACCGGGCGCGCAGGAUCACCUGCACGCGUCCUCGGGGUUAAGUCGCACCGCAUCGCCCACCGGCGCUGCCCGCGGCCGGGUGACUCCCAUCCGAACCCGACAGCUCACCCCGCAGGCAUGGGAGAGGUACA
rnacentral:sRNA from 1 species